AGUGAACGCUGGCGGCGUGCCUAAUACAUGCAAGUCGAACGGAGAUUAAGUAGCUUGCUAUUUAAUCUUAGUGGCGCACGGGUGAGUAAUAUAUAGCUAACUUGCCCAUUACUAAGGGACAACAGUUGGAAACGACUGCUAAUACCUUAUACUCCGUAUCUAUAUAAGUAGAUACGGGAAAGUUUUUCGGUAAUGGAUAGGGCUAUAUCGUAUCAGCUAGUUGGUAAGGUAAUGGCUUACCAAGGCUAUGACGCGUAACUGGUCUGAGAGGAUGAUCAGUCACACUGGAACUGAGACACGGUCCAGACUCCUACGGGAGGCAGCAGUAGGGAAUAUUGCUCAAUGGGGGAAACCCUGAAGCAGCAACGCCGCGUGGAGGAUGACACUUUUCGGAGCGUAAACUCCUUUUCUGGGGAAAGAAUUAGGACGGGACCCAAGGAAGAAGCACCGGCUAACUCCGU
rnacentral:rRNA from 1 species